rnacentral:rRNA from 1 species
AGUGAACGCUGGCGGUAGGCCUAACACAUGCAAGUCGAACGGCAGCACAGUAAGAGCUUGCUCUUACGGGUGGCGAGUGGCGGACGGGUGAGGAAUACAUCGGAAUCUACUUUUUCGUGGGGGAUAACGUAGGGAAACUUACGCUAAUACCGCAUACGACCUACGGGUGAAAGCAGGGGAUCUUCGGACCUUGCGCGAUUGAAUGGGCCGAUGUCGGAUUAGCUAGUUGGCGGGGUAAAGGCCCACCAAGGCGACGAUCCGUAGCUGGUCUGAGAGGAUGAUCAGCCACACUGGAACUGAGACACGGUCCAGACUCCUACGGGAGGCAGCAGUGGGGAAUAUUGGACAAUGGGCGCAAGCCUGAUCCAGCCGUACCGCGUGGGUGAAGAAGGCCUUCGGGUUGUAAAGCCCUUUUGUUGGGAAAGAAAAGCAGCAGGUUAAUACCCCGCUGUUCUGACGGUACCCAAAGAAUAAGCACCGGCUAACUUCGUG